rnacentral:rRNA from 1 species
CCUAAUACAUGCAAGUAGAACGCUGAAGAGAGGAGCUUGCUCUUCUUGGAUGAGUUGCGAACGGGUGAGUAACGCGUAGGUAACCUGCCUUGUAGCGGGGGAUAACUAUUGGAAACGAUAGCUAAUACCGCAUAACAAUGGAUGACACAUGUCAUUUAUUUGAAAGGGGCAAAUGCUCCACUACAAGAUGGACCUGCGUUGUAUUAGCUAGUAGGUGAGGUAACGGCUCACCUAGGCGACGAUACAUAGCCGACCUGAGAGGGUGAUCGGCCACACUGGGACUGAGACACGGCCCAGACUCCUACGGGAGGCAGCAGUAGGGAAUCUUCGGCAAUGGGGGCAACCCUGACCGAGCAACGCCGCGUGAGUGAAGAAGGUUUUCGGAUCGUAAAGCUCUGUUGUAAGUCAAGAACGAGUGUGAGAGUGGAAAGUUCACACUGUGACGGUAGCUUACCAGAAAGGGACGGCUAACUACGUGCCAGCAGCCGCGGUAAUACGUAGGUCCCGAGCGUUGUCCGGAUUUAUUGGCCGUAAAGCGAGCGCAGGCGGUUUGAUAAGUCUGAAGUUAAAGGCUGUGGUUCAACCAUAGUUCGCUUUGGAAACUGUCAAACUUGAGUGCAGAAGGGGAGAGGUGAAUUCCAUGUGUAGCGGUGAAAUGCGUAGAUAUAUGGAGGAACACCGGUGGCGAAAGCGGCUCUCUGGUCUGUAACUGACGCUGAGGCUCGAAAGCGUGGGGAGCGAACAGGAUUAGAUACCCUGGUAGUCCACGCCGUAAACGAUGAGUGCUAGGUGUUGGAUCCUNUCCGGGAUUCAGUGCCGCAGCUAACGCAUUAAGCACUCCGCCUGGGGAGUACGACCGCAAGGUUGAAACUCAAAGGAAUUGACGGGGGCCCGCACAAGCGGUGGAGCAUGUGGUUUAAUUCGAAGCAACGCGAAGAACCUUACCAGGUCUUGACAUCCCGAUGCUAUUUCUAGAGAUAGAAAGUUACUUCGGUACAUCGGUGACAGGUGGUGCAUGGUUGUCGUCAGCUCGUGUCGUGAGAUGUUGGGUUAAGUCCCGCAACGAGCGCAACCCCUAUUGUUAGUUGCCAUCAUUCAGUUGGGCACUCUAGCGAGACUGCCGGUAAUAAACCGGAGGAAGGUGGGGAUGACGUCAAAUCAUCAUGCCCCUUAUGACCUGGGCUACACACGUGCUACAAUGGUUGGUACAACGAGUUGCGAGUCGGUGACGGCAAGCUAAUCUCUUAAAGCCAAUCUCAGUUCGGAUUGUAGGCUGCAACUCGCCUACAUGAAGUCGGAAUCGCUAGUAAUCGCGGAUCAGCACGCCGCGGUGAAUACGUUCCCGGGCCUUGUACACACCGCCCGUCACACCACGAGAGUUUGUAACACCCGAAGUCGGUGAGGUAACCUUUUGGAGCCAGCCGCCUAAGGUGGGAUAGAUGAUUGGGGUGAAGUCAU